GCGCUCGAUGAUUCAUUGCCCCAGUUAGGGGUUCUCUCCAGCAAGCCCGGCGCGAGCCCUCUGAAGGGUCUCCUCGGGGACCCGCGGAAACCCAUCAGCCGCUAGAGCUGGUCUUUAAGUAAAGGUCAAGCAGGACGCGGGAGGAGCCAGGACUCAAGCGUGAUGGACUUGAAGAGCAGCGACAGAUGCUCCCAGGCGGCCCCGGCAUUGGGAAUGGGGAGAAAACGCCCACCUCGGGUCUACAGGAGACCAGAAGGCUGUCAGCCUGGAACACCCGGGCACCUCUCAAAUUUGCGGCUUCCUGUAGGGUCGUCUUGGCCCAGGAACCGCGGGAAUCUGCCCUCGCACUGCGGGGGAGAGCAAGUUUCCAGGCUCUGAGCACUUAUCACACGUUGUAUUAUGUGUCUGUCUCUGGGUGACUUCCCUCGUAAGGUCCCACAGCGUCACAAGGCCGGGGACAUAGUUGGGGCCCAAACGAUGCUGAAACAUGGGAUGCCAGAGUCUAUCCAAAACCUCACAGUGCCUUCCAAGUUCCAGAAUCUCCUGCCAGCUUCCAGUCUUUCAUUCUUCUGCGUGCCAGCACUCCAGACUAAACCCUUCCAUGUGCCCCCAGCUCCCCGCACCAACCCUGUAACCUGCCUGCCCUCCUCACUGGUACCCUUCUCCGUUUCCUCCUCUCUCUACACUGCGAGUGUGCCUCUGGCACCUCUCCCAGGACCCAUUCACCUUCGGAGGCUGGUCCAUCCUCCCUCUUUUAGAGGCUACGUGUGCUGUGUGUUUGGCCUCUGGUUCACUGGGGACCAGAAAAACAAAAUUUAUCAUCUGACUGUUGUAUUUUUUCUUCUUUCCAUUUUUUUCCCCUUAAGAAUGAAGCAAGCACUUCUCCUCUGUGCUCAGAAAGAGCUUCAAACACGGCAGGCCACAGGCAAAAGCAUAUCCUCCUUCUCAGAGGGAAGGAAUGCAACCGUUAACAAUAAAAAAAAAAAAAAUCCCUGGGAUUUAUGGAGGCCUUGGGCUUAUGAGCUGCCUCACAUCCGUUA